CAAUCCUACUGUAAGCCUGGUACAUUAGGAGAGGGGGCAGAGAGAGAGGGCAGAAAAGGGGAGCAUGGGGAAAGAGAAGAGAGGUUGUUAUUCUCAGUCUUUUAUUAACCAGUUUCUUUUAUUCUAGUGGGUCUUUAUUACUUAGAAAAAUAAAAAAUGAUCUGGGGCUUUAUCCAUUCUCACCUAAAAUUUUGGAGUAGGUAAUGGCUGUCUACAACCUGGUCCAACAUAUGCCCCCAAACUAAAACAAACAAACUCAUUUACCAUACAAAUUGUUUACGAUUCAUUAAAAAGCAAAAUUGCACAUCCCCGUGCUGGCAGCUGAGGCUGAGCCUCCCCGGGCGGAGGGGGCAUUCACUGAGUUGCCUUUGUAUGCUGGGAAGACCAAGCCGGAGGUUCCCACUAUGCAGCCCGGAGUCUGUGCAGCCAGAUGACGCAUGAGGUGCAUGGAAUGUGAGCCGGUCAUGUGCACAAAACAGCCCACCUUCAUCUCAGGAACAUGGAAGUGAGAUGGAGAAAGAGACAUCUCAGCUACCUAUGAGGAGUUGCCCUUUCAUAAUGCAUCAACGUUAUUGACUGGCCUGUGAUUCCUUACUUGGAGUUAAGGCUCAGAAACAAGAAACAAGUAUUGCUGCAAAGGUGGACUAUCAGUGGAGAAAAUGAAAAGCAAAAACAAACAAACAAACAAAC